UGAAUGACGUGGAGCGGCAGA
rnacentral:piRNA from 1 species